UACAGAGGGUGCGAGCGUUAAUCGGAAUUACUGGGCGUAAAGCGUGCGCAGGCGGUUUUGUAAGCCAGAUGUGAAAUCCCCGGGCUCAACCUGGGAAUGGCAUUUGGGACUGCAAGGCUGGAGUACGGCAGAGGAGACUGGAAUUCCUGGUGUAGCAGUGAAAUGCGUAGAUAUCAGGAGGAAUACCGAUGGCGAAGGCAGGUCUCUGGGCUGAUACUGACGCUGAGACACGAAAGCCAGGGGAGCGAACGGG
rnacentral:rRNA from 1 species